UAGCGGCGAGUGAAGCGGCAAAAGCUCAAAUUUGAAAUCUGGCGCCUUCGGUGUCCGAGUUGUAAUUUGAAGAUUGUAACCUUGGGGUUGGCUCUUGUCUAUGUUUCUUGGAACAGGACGUCACAGAGGGUGAGAAUCCCGUGCGAUGAGAUGCCCAAUUCUAUGUAAGGUGCUUUCGAAGAGUCGAGUUGUUUGGGAAUGCAGCUCUAAGUGGGUGGUAAAUUCCAUCUAAAGCUAAAUAUUGGCGAGAGACCGAUAGCGAACAAGUACAGUGAUGGAAAGAUGAAAAGAACUUUGAAAAGAGAGUGAAAAAGUACGUGAAAUUGUUGAAAGGGAAGGGUUUGAGAUCAGACUCGAUAUUUUGUGAGCCUUGCCUUCGUGGCGGGGUGACCCGCAGCUUAUCGGGCCAGCAUCGGUUUGGGCGGUAGGAUAAUGGCGUAGGAAUGUGACUUUACUUCGGUGAAGUGUUAUAGCCUGCGUUGAUGCUGCCUGCCUAGACCGAGGACUGCGA
rnacentral:rRNA from 1 species